UCCCACUCCACCAGUCCACACCGCAGCAGCACUCCAGUGAGCUCGAAACCGAGAGGGCAAGAAGAGGAGGAACCGAUACAGCACUACAGGCAACCAUGGAGGUGGUGACCGGCAGCAACGGCGGGAGGCUGAACCCGUGGGCGGAGCCCUUCGUGCCGGGGAGCUGGUGCCGCCCCGCCCCCGUGGAGGCUGCGGCGUCGGCGGAGGUCGAGGACUUCUCCCCCNNNNNNNNNNNNNNNNNNNNNNNNNNNNNNNNNNNNNNNNNNNNNNNNNNNNNNNNNNNNNNNNNNNNNNNNNNNUGGUGGCGCCUCGUCGCCUCCUCGCCGUCCUUCCGCGACAGCUGGCUCCGCGACUACGGCGACAUGGGUCUUCUGGACGCCGACGAGUGCCCGGACGACGGCGACGCCUUCUUCCCUCCUCCGGCGCUGCCGCGCAACGGUACGUGACCAGACCGGCCCAGAUCUACUACUUCUCUGCACCCUUUUCUUCACGGUUGUUGGCCUUGUUGUUAAACCUGCCACCGUGGUUCUCAGCAGAGGGAGAGGGGAGGAAGGAAGAAGCCGCCGUCAAGAAGAGUGGGGGCGAGGUGGCGCCCUGGGGGAUCGAGAAGUGGUGGCGGGCGCACGUCGCCUCGCCGCCGGAGGUCCCGAAGUACGCGGAGAAGGCGCCUGCUAAGGUCCUNNNNNNNNNNNNNNNNNNNNNNNNNNNNNNNNNNNNNNNNNNNNNNNNNNNNNNNNNNNNNNNNNNNNNNNNNNNNNNNNNNNNNNNNNNNNNNNNNNNNCUUAACAUAUUGGUCAGCCGUAGCGGGUGGUUCAUCUCCUAGCGCAGCAUUAAGGACAUAAUCCUUCUUCCCAGCUUGUAGGAUCAACUUAAGAUUACGGGCCCAGUCUACAAAGUUGCUUCCAUCAUCUUUCAACUUAGCUUUCUCUAGGAACGUAUUAAAAUUCAGGGUGACUGUCGCGUGAGCCAUGAUCUACAACACAAAUAUAUUCAAAGUGGACUUAGACUAUGUUCAAGAUAAUUAGAGUUUAACUUAAUCAAAUUAUUUGCUAAACUCCCACUCAAAAAUACAUCUCUCUAGUCAUUUGAGUGGUCCAUGACCCACUUACACUAGCUCAAGUAAGAUCAUCACGUGAGUUGAGUAUAGUUUCAGUGGAAAGCAUCCCUAUGCUAAUCAUAUCAACUAUAUGAUUCAUGAUCGACCUUUCGGUCUCAUGUGUUCCGAGGCCAUGUCUGCACAUGCUAGGCUCGUCAAGCUUAACCCGAGUGUUCCGCGUGUGCAACUGUUUUGCACCCGUCGUAUGUGAACGUUGAGUCUAUCACACCCGAUCAUCACGUGAUGUAUCGAAACGACGAACUGUAGCAACGACGCAAAGUUGGGGAGAACACAAUUUCGUCUUGAAAUUUUAGUGAGAGAUCACCUCAUAAUGCUACCAUCGUUCUAAGCAAAAUAAGGUGCAUAAAAGGAUUAACAUCACAUGCAAUUCAUAAGUGACAUGAUAUGGCCAUCAUCACGUGCUUCUUGAUCUUCAUCACCAAAGCACCGGCACGAUCUUCUUGUCACCGGCGUCACACCAUGAUCCUCCAUCAUCAUGAUCUCCAUCAACGUGUCGCCAUCGGGGUUGUCGUGCUACUCAUGNNNNNNNNNNGUCCAUCACCAAAGCACCGGCACGAUCUUCUUGUCACCGGUGCCACACCAUGAUCUCCAUCAACGUGUCGCCAUCGGGGUUGUCGUGCUACUCAUGCUAUUACUACUAAAGCUACAUCCUAGCAAAAUAGUAAACACAUCUGCAAGCACAAACGUUAGUUAUAAAGACAACCCUAUGGCUCCUGCCGGUUGCCAUACCAUCGACAUGCAAGUCGAUAUUAACUAUUACAACAUGAUCAUCUCAUACAUCCAAUAUAUCACAUCACAUCGUUGGCCAUAUCACAUCACAAGCAUACCCUGCAAAAACAAGUUAGACGUCCUCUAAUUUUGUUGUUGCAUGUUUUACGUGGUGACCAUGGGUAUCUAGUAGGAUCNNNNNNNNNNNNNNNNNNNNNNNNNNNNNNNNNNNNNNNNNNNNNNNNNNNNNNNNNNNNNNNNNNNNNNNNNNNNNNNNNNNNNNNNNNNNNNNNNNNNAGGAUCAUUGCCUUAGAUAUCGUCAUGACUUUGCUCGGUUCUAUCAAUUGCUCGACAGUAAUUUGUUCACCCACCGUGAUAUUUGCUAUUUUGAGAGAAGCCUCUACUGAACACUAUGGCCCCUGGGUCUACUCCACACCAUAUUUUUAGCCUUACACUUUUUACUUCGUUGCACUUUCUGCCUUCAGAUCUCACUUUGCAAACAAUCUUGAAGGGAUUGACAACCCCUUUGAAGCGUUGGGUGCAAGCUUGUUUGUGUUUGCGCAGGUACUCUGGACUUGACGAGACCCUCCUUCUUGAUCGAUACAUUGGUUCUCAAACUGAGGGAAAUACUUACUGCUCUUCUGUUGCAUCACCCUUUCCUCUUCAAGGGAAAAACCGACGCAAACCAGAGAAGUAACAAGAAGAAUUCCUAGCGCCAAGGAAGGACUUUUGUUGCCGUAGCAGAGGGCCAGUGUUGGUCCUAAACAGAGCACUAUGCGGGUCCAACCCAGGGCAACUUGGGUGAUUUCUAUCAGGCCACCGUACGCGUCGCUUAUCCGUCGUGUCCUGAGAACGAGAUACGCAACUCCUAUCGGGAUCGUCGACACGUCAGGCGGCCUUGCUGGACUUGUUUUAUCUUUCUCGAGCGUCUUGUGCGAGGGAUUCCGAGGACAGUUUGGGCUAUCUCGAGGUUGAGCAUUUCCAAUAGGAACCCGAGGAGAUCACGGGCUUCCCUGAUCGAGGUCUUUCCAUCGCAGCGUGUGGUAGUUUGUAACGGCUAGUUGGAGCACCCGUGCAGGGUUAAUCUUUCGGAAAGUCGUGCCCGCAGUUAUGUGGCAACGUGGAAACUUUGUUUAACAUCCGGUUCUAGAUAACUUGAAGUAAGCUUAAUUAAAAUAUUUCAUGAGCUCCUUCUCCGGUCGAGGACAUGGUGGGGUUAUGUCUGACGUAAGUAGGUGUUCAGGAUCAUUCAUUGAUCAUCAGUAGCUCACGUCCGCUAUGCGUAGAUCUUUCCCCCUCUUUUAUUCUUGUAAUCGUAAGUUAGCCAUCUCAAAUAAAUGCUUAGUCGCGUGCUGCAGCCUCACCACUUAACCAUACCUCACCCAUUAAGCUUUGCUAGUCUUGAUACCUUUGGUAAUGAGAUUGUUGAGUCCGUGUGGCUCACAGAUUACUACAACACCAGUUGCAGGUACAGGUAAAGGAUAUUAAGAUGUGAGCCCGAUGAUUGUGCUAUUUGCAGUUUCUUCUUCUUCUUCAUCGAUCUAGGAUGGGUUCCAGGCCGCAGCCUGGGAUAGCAAGGAUGGACGUCAUUCUUUUAUCGUUUGUUUUCAUCUGUAGUUAGACCCUGAUCUUCUUCAUGAUGAGUGUUUAUGUUGUUGUAUUGAUGUGACUCUGAUGUAGCUUGUAGCGAGUGUAAGCCAACUCUUUAUACUCAUCUUUUGAGUACAUGUACUUGUAACGAUAUCCAUUCUUGCGAAACGACGAGAUGUGUUUCUAUCCCUGUCGAGGCCCUCACGCCAAAAUAAUUAUAGGACCGCAUCUUGGGUGUUACAAGUUGGUAUCACAGCAGUACCAACCUAGGAGCCCCCUUGAUUGAUCGAACUUGGUCGAGUCGAGUCUAGUGAAAAACUACUUUGAGUCUAGUUAUAUAUCGGAGAGUAGGAUUCUUUUUCUCCUCUUCUAUGCUCUGGUGAGGAACCUUGACGUGAUAAUUUUAAUUCUACUCCUCUUCUCACUAAAAAAAAAAUAGGAUCACGCGGAUAUUUUUGGAAUCUAUAUGAUGUCGAUCUGACAUAGUUCUGACUUGGUGCCUCCUGAUGUGUUGACUUUAUUCUGGGAAUUUGAGCUCGAGGGGAUUCUUGAGCACAUCGUUAUCAUUCAGAUUAAUUAGUAUCUCAGGACAGAGGAUGUUUGAAAUUGCUUCAAUACUAGUAGUGGCGAGAUAACCCCGGCAUCCCCAGUACUGGUGCACAGAGUUCAAGGGUACUGCCAUACUUAGUAUCGUUGUGUUUUCGAGGGUCUCGGAUAGAUGAGUUUCCAAGGUCUGUGGUUAUGUGUUGACGGAUGUGAUACAUUGGACGAGUUGUGUUAUUGCUAAUAGUUGAGUGAUGGAUUUUACUCCUUGUAUCCGUGGACCCGAUUGCAUGACCAGAAAAUUUCGGGAGUUCUUAGGUGGGAAUUCAAGUAGUUACUUAUAGGACAAUCUUCCAACAGAUGCACGAUGUGAGGUUGGGGUUCGACAUCUAGUGGAUUUGUUUGUUCACGGUCGUCUUACAUCGGUUCUCCUUGUGUCUUAAAGAGUCCUUGUAGCUUGGUAUGACUCGGGGACGCUUCGUAUGUCAUGUGCACUGCCUUGUACCUGAUGGCUACUGUAGGAUAGAGCCCGUGAGAUCCUAUCCACGAAAAUAUCGAACGAAAUAUGUGUCAUGAAUUUGUUCCGGCUUGUGUUGUAAGCCUCAUCCUUUUUUGCCGGAAUACGGUAAUUCGAGUUUCUUCGAUGUGAAGUGGUGAUUUCAUAUCUUUCCUAAGAGGUGUUCUCAUAUUUUUAUGGGAAUGCUGAUUCGUUUGCUCAAUCAAGUUGUCUUAUCAAUUCUUCUUAGCCGGUGUACUUUUCUUUAAGCAAUUCUAUCCUCUCCAAUUUUGCAAGAUCAAUCUCUCAUUUCUUUCCGGGGUUUGUCUCAUCUGCCCCAAGUUGUCUUGUUUUUCCCGCCCUCCCGCCCCUUUUUCUUCAGUGAUUCAAUUAUCAUCCAAGUGCAUUACAUUUCAUUGUUGCUUCUGCUCUCUUCUCUUCUGUGUCGUAUCCGGUGAUUCAUUGUGAAGAUUCUCAGGAGUUCUGAGUUCAUCAUUUUUCAUUCGUGUUCUCUUUUCCGGUGAAUUCAAUUCAAGCUAUCUGUGUUCAUCAUAUCCUUUUCAUCCUUUAAAUUCUUUCCCAUGUUAAAAAAUCUUAUCAAGUCUUUCUUGGUUUCAUCCAUCUCUGUUCUAUCCGGUGUGUUGAAGAUUCUCAGAAGUUCCUUGUUUUCAGUCCUUUCCAUUAUUUUGAGGUUCUAGCCCCAUCAAGUUUUUCAUUUAUAUGGGUGUAAUCAAUCUUUCUUAGCAAUCCCUUAAUCGGUGUUUCUUUUGAGUGGGCCCAUAACCCACACGUUCUUUCCCAGGUCUUAUCUAACUCUUGUAAUCUUUUCCGAAGAUCUCUAGUUCUUUUCAAUUAUGACGUAAGUAUGAAUUUCAUCAGUCAUAUCCCUUAUCUAAGCCAUUUCAAAUUUAUUCCCCUCAUUGGCUCAACUUUUCAUAUUCUUAUUCCGGAGUGUCUCAUUUAUUCUUGGUGGUGUUCUCCUUAUCAUUUUCAGCUUGGAAGACCGAAGGAGUGUUUCUCUCAAACAUUGGUCCAUUCUCUUGAAGAUUCAUCAUUUCAUCUUUGUGUUAUCAUCUUGAAUUAUUUCCAAUCAUGAGUAAUCCCUUUCUUGCUAUAUGGUGCAUUUCAUAUUUGUUUUCAUUCUUGAGCCUCCGAAGGCCUUCAUUUCAGAAGAUUUCUUCGUUCAUAGCUUUCAGCUUUCAUUCUCAAAUUCUUCUCAAUUGUUGCCUCUUCGUUCAUCACUCAAUUAUUCCGGUGCCUUGUUGAAGUUUUCUGUUAGGUGGACCAUGGUCUCUUCAUUCUCAGGUGUUAUUAAAGAUCUUGUGGUAGUACCUCAAGUAUUCUUUCUCUGCAUUUCAAAGUGCAAUUCUUCCGCAUUUAUCCUUUGUGGUGGUAUUAUAGCAUUCUCGUGAGUGGAGGAGUCUCGAAGAGAAUUUGUUUCAAGAAUGAGAUAUUUAAAUCCACUAAUUCCUUGGCCAUGAGUUAUUUUAACCCAUGAUUUCUUCAUUGAGCUAUCUUGGUUUAAAUUUCACCUAAAGCUUUUUUCUAAGGAUUGUGCCUAUUAUGGUGAUUAUCGUUGACCCAAGUUCUCAAUAUAUCCUCUAGGUGUAAGAAGUUUUUCCUUUCUUGUUGCUGUCAAUCAAUCCUUGUUUCUGUUAGUGGAUGGUUGUCACCUCAUUAUUUUGGGGUGGUUUUCAUAGGUCCACUACAAGCUUGUUCUUUUCGUUGUUGGUUUUCCAACAACUCUGUUCCGUUCUUCUUGCAAGGAUGCUUGCCAAAUUCAAUUGUGGUAGUAGUUGUCAAUUUCUUCUUCAUUCUUUCUUCUCAAUGAUCUAGUUUCUAUUCUCUUGUUCCGGAGAUGUUGUCAUGUUGCUCUUGUUAUUCAAUCAUCUUGGGUUGUCAAGAUCAUAUUCCUUCAUUCCUUCUCAAUUUAGUUGGUUUGUUGUGAAUGUUGUCAAGAUCUUUCCAUCUUAUCAAACUUUUGUCCUCAAUUUCCUAUCGAAGUGUUGCUGAAAUUUCUUCUGAAUUCUUGCUUGUUUCUCAUGUCAUUCUUCAUCUCUUUGCAACCAUCAAGAUUCAUUGGUUUCACUCGUUUGUCAAACAAGCGACUAGGUUUUACCUCUUGCUUUAUCAUCCUCUUCCCAUUUUCAUUCUUAGAUCUCGGGGCGAGAUCUCUUGUUAGUGUAGGAGAGUUGUGACAGCCCGAGACCGACGCUCCAGAAGAUUCCCCUUUUAUUCUGUUGUCGCCUGUGAUUAUUUGUUCAUCCCAUCAUGCGCAUCAUCUGUAUUGCAUUGGCACUCUGUUGCCUCCAAUUUUCAAAAUUGCAUCCAUUAUUAGUUGUCGCUUCUCUCCGUUUUUUGUCGUUGACCGUUCUGAGACCAACCACACACACGCGCGCCCGCGGCAUCGUUAAAAUCUUGUUUUUAAAAGUGCGUGAAAAAUAUUCUCGGAUUGGGUUGAAACUUGUCGUGCGGUCUUAUUUUCAUGUAGGUAGGCCGCGUGCCAAAUUUCAUUGGAAUCAAAGUCCGCUCGAUACCCGAACGGUCGACCGUAGCAGCACCGUCAUCGGUUUAUCGUUGGACAUUUUUUGGUGUUUAUAAAUCUCGUUGCCGGGCCAGAUAACCCCUCUCUUCUCUCAGCCCAUCAUGGUUACAUAUCCCACCUAGCCAAUUAACAUCAUCCCCACGUUCGGAGUCGUCCGAUCGAGAUCGUACGGCUCGAAAACAGACUAAUUUCCCUAACCCUAACCCCCCUUCCCUAUUUACAGAGCCCUCCAUGCCUAAUUUGAACAGCCAGCCCCUUGCCUCAGGAUCUGCGCCCCCACAAACCCUAGCCACCACCUAGUCGCCUCUCUCCCACCUCCUCCAGCACCGUCGGGCCGCGAAGCCCAUUUGGAGCCUGCCUUGGGCCCGAGCCGCUACCCGAAGCCUCGCAGCCCCGAGCUCCCCUAGGUGCCCCGACCAGCCCCGCCGCCGGAUGCCCCGCCUUCGGCCGAGCCAGCCGCCGGUGCCCCGCCGCCGCGACCGGCCACUGGGUGUGAGGCCGCCCUGCCGGAGCUCCCCUAGGCUGGAUCCCGCACCCUCGAGCUGCCUCCUCUACAUGGUUCUCGAGUUGUUCAUCCCGAGACCACUGCCCCGGUUCGAUCUCGCCUUGCCAGUCGCUGGUGCACCGUUCGAGGUUGCCAACCUCCAGAUCGCGCCAGUCCACGUCCGAUCCGGACCUUCCCGUGCUCAGAUCCGCCCCAAGAUCUCCCCAUGGCCGCCAAGCUCCGUCGUUGACCUGCCAUGGUCGUGUUCCUGCUAUCCCUGCGGGAGAACGGGGAUGCCCCCCGUUGUCCACGCUGUGGGCCGCCAGCCGACCGGCCCAGCGCCCAGGCCUGGUUCGGCCAUCCUAUCCCGUGGGCCGCCGUGCGUUCCAUGGCCCAGAUCGGCCAGCUUCGACUCCGCGUGAGCCGACGCAACGACCAGCCAGAUUCGGCCGAGUUGGCGCGAGGUGAGCAUCCCUGUGCCUGCCCUAUAAUGCGACGUAGGCGCUAGAUUAUUAUCUUGCGCCGCGUGCUAUUUUAGACCAUCAGAUUGUUUCGGCCCGAGUAGUUUUGUUUCUUUAAACCUGGGAUUUAAUUCUUUUUUAGAAAAACGCAUGUUUUUCAAACCCUGUAGUUUUUAAACCGUGCGUCAGAUCGCGACAAGUUAUAUAUGUAGAACGUGUAGAAUUUUGUGUAGAUUAAUAUUUUCCAACUCUCAUGCAUAUUUAUAACUGUUAGAUGUGUUGUUUGCAUUGGUUUUGUGUGACAACGUGUUACAAACGGUUUAGAUCAUAGUUAUUUAUCCAUACCUCCGUUGGAGAUGAGCCAUAUAUGUAAAUGGACUAGAACGAUGAGUAGAAUCAAGUGAACCACUUAGGUUUGCCGUUUAACAAACAUAAAAUGUGACCAGGGAAAAUCUGGACAUAUUACAAAGUUAAUGCGUGGGGUCGUUUCGGAAAUGCUAUAUGUCGUUUUCGGCCUCAUUUAAAAUGCCUAGAUAGGUAGUUUAUUUGUGCUUAAUCCUCGUGCCAUGUUUAACAACAUUUAAUAUUGUUGCGUAAAUAAACGGAAUUGAACUAAAUAAUUUGUAUGUGGAGUUUCGUCAAUAUGCAACUCGUUGCAUAUUAAGCUUUGAUGACCCAGAAGUAUAGGGGAUCAAUCGUAGUCCUUUCGAUAAGUAAGAGUGUCGAACCCAACGAGGAGCAGAAGGCUGUGAUAAACGGAUUUCAACAAGGUAAUAACUGCAAGCACUGAAAGUAGCGGUAACAAGUGAUAGUGUAGCAAGGUGAAAUGUAACAAGUGAAAAGUAACAAGUAACAAGUAGUAGCAACGGUGCAGCAAGUGGCACAAUCCCUUUUGUAGCAAGGGACAAGCCUGAACAAAGUCUUAUAGGAGGAACAACGCUCCCGAGGACACACGAGAAUUUCGGUCAUGCUAGUUUCAUCAUGUUCAUAUGAUUCGCGUUCGUUACUUUGAUAGUUUGAUAUGUCGGUGGACCGGCACUUGGGUACUGCCCUUACUUGGACAAGCAUCCCACUUAUGAUUAACCUCUUUCGCAAACAUCCGCAACUAAAAAAGAAGAAUUAAGACAACGUCUAACCAUAGCAUUAAACUAGUGGAUCCAAAUUAGCCCCUUACGAAGCAACGCAUAGACUGGGGUUUAAGCUUCUGUCACUCCAGCAACCCAUCAUCUACUUACUACUCCCCAAUGCCUUCCUCUAGGCCCAAAUAUGGUGAAGUGUUAUGUAGUCGACGUUCACAUAACACCACUAGAGGAAAAACAACAUACAACAUAUCAAAAUACCGAACGAAUAUCAAAUUCACAUGACUAUUAUCAGCAUGACUUAUCCCAUGUCCUCAGGAACAAAAGUAACUACUCACAAAGCAUAAUCAUAAUCAUGAUCAGAGGUGUAAUGAAUAGCAUCAAGGAUCUGAACAUAAACUCUUCCACCAAGUAAUCCAACUAGCAUCAACUACAAAGAGUAAUCAACACUACUAGUAACCUUACAAGUACCAAUCGAAGUCGCGAGACGAAGAUUGGUUACAAGAGAUGAACUAGGGAUUGGAGAGGAGAUGGUGCUGAUGAAGAUGUUGAUGAAGAUGCCUCCCCUCCGACAAAAGGAGUGUUGGUGAUCACGAUGGCGACGAUUUCCCCCUCUGAGAGGGAAGUUUCCUCGGCAGGAUCGUCCUGCCGGAGCUCUAGAUUGGAUCUGCUCAAGUUCCGCCUCGUGGCGGCGGCGAAACCACGAAAAAGCUCCCGAUUGAUUUUUUUCUGGAACGAAAUCCUUCAUAUAGCAAAAGAGGGGGCUAGUGGGCCGUCAGGGAGCCCACAAGCUUGCCCUCCGCCACCAGGGGGUGGCGGUGGUAGGGCUUGUGGCGUCCUGGCAGCCCCCCUAUGGUACUUCUUUCUACCAGUAUUUUUUAUAUAAUCCCAAAAAAUUCCACGUAACUUUUAGGGCAUUUGGAGAUGUGCAGAAUAGUGGACUAAGAUUUGCUCCUUUUCCAGUCAAGAAUUCCAGCUGCCUGAAUUCUCCCUCUUCAAAUAAACCUUGCAAAAUAAGAGAGAAAAGGCAUAAAUAUGGUGCCACAAAGUAAUAUAACAGCCCAUAACGCAAUAAAUAUCAAUAUGAAAGCAUGAUGCAAAAUGGACGUAUCAACUCCCCCAAGCUUAGACCUCGCUUGUCCUCAAGCGAAAACCAAGUUCCAUAAACAUGUCCACAUGUUUAGGGACGAAGGUGUCGAUAAAACAUAAUACGGACAUGAGGGCAUCAUGAUCACACAUAGAACAGCAAUACAUCAUAAAGAUUCUUAUGGGAAAGUAACAAUUCCUUCACAAAGCAAAGCAUGAAGCAAAAACCUUACCGAGAAGUCUCCAACAACAGUCCAAAGUCAUUGAAGCAAUUGCAAUCUAUCACAACAUCAGAAAGAGUCAAAUAAGAUCUUGUAAGGAAAACCCACAUACUCAAUCAUUUCUUUUGUUUUCCACAAUUGUUACAACUCACGGGGUACUCAUGGUGUCAAAGUUUCAGCUGGACACACAGGAAGAUAGGGGCUUAUAGUUUUGCCUCCCAAUGAUUUACCUCAAGGGUAAAGUCAACAAUAAUAAAGCAUAAGUACUCAACUCCAAGUUGAUAUAUGAAUAUAGAUCUUUCCCAAGCAUGUGACGGCAGCCAAGACAAAGGCAAAAAUAGGGAAUUGGUGAAGAUCACCAUGACUCUUACAAGGGUAAAAAGUAAAGGUACAAGAUAGGCCCUUCGCAGAGGGAAGCAGAGGUUGUCAUGCGCUUUUGAGGUUUGAAUGUGUGUCGUCUUAGUGCGGAGGAACAUCACUUUAUAUUGCCUCCUGUGAUAAAGAACUUUAUUAUGCAGUCUGUCGCUUUUAUGUCUUCCUCAUCACAGGUUCGUACAAAGCUUAUUUUCCACACACUAAUAUAUCAUACAUAUUAGAGAGCAAUUUUUAUUGUUUGCACCGAUGACAACUUACUUGAAGGAUCAUAUUCAAUCCAUAGGUAGGUAUGGUGGACUCUCAUGGCAAAACUGGGUUGGAGGUUUAUGGAUGCACAAGUAGUAUCUCUACUUGGUGCGGGAGUUUUGGCUAACAUGAGGUGGAAGCGAUCGUCACACACUAAGGGAUCUCUAAUCAUAUAACAUUGUUUGGAACCAAGAAAACACAAUUCAUUAUGUUGUCUUCCUUGUCCAACAUCUACUCCUAAGCAUGUAAUAGUUUCGUGAGUGCUCACAAUUGUAAAAAGUGUCUAAGAUGAUAUAUUUAUAUGUGAACCUCUCUUUCCUUAUUACUUCUUAUUAAUUGCAACAAUGACUGAGGUCUAUGUUGAUUUAUUCUCAACAAGUUUCAAUCAUCAUGCGUGUCAUAUGUGAAGCUAUCACUUUCCAUAAGAUCGUCUCAUGAUCUUUCAUGCUAUCGUUCUUUUUGUACUUUUGAUCAUGGCACAAAGCAAAGCCCUUGACUAAGAUACUCUUUAUUAUAUAGCUCGCAAGCUCGAAUACAUCGGGGGAGAGACAAAGCAAAAGAUUCAAACUAAACACUAAAGACUUAUUCCUCUAAGAGAAGAAAUAAAAACUGAAAAAGGAAAGAACUAAAACAAAGGUAAAAGCAAAAGAUAUAAAGGUGAUACGAUACCAGGGCAACUCCCCCAAGCUUGGCAGAAGCCAAGGGGAUUGACCAUACCAAUGCUUAGUUGUCUUCCUUUGGUGGUAAUGGUGGUGGAGUUGUUGAAGCAGUCUGAUCCUCCGUCUUCCAAGGCAUAGGUGCUCCAUCAUGGCAGGAUGAACGAGUCGCCGGAAUCCUCAAAUCUGCAGCCAACCUUAUUGAUUUAAAUUUGUACUCAUACUCACAGUUUUGGUUCUACAGGUCAUAGAUCUAGCCCCGAAGUUGAUCAACCCUGUCAUAGAGCUUGGAGAGGUGUUUCCCAAUGUCAAUGGCAUCCAUCUUGUGAUUGCUAGUGAACUCCGUGAUCAUCAUGUGGUUGGCGUUGAGUCCACGCUCCACCAUCCCUAGGCACUUGAAGACUUGUUGCUCCAUUCUUCGAGCCUCGUCUCCAUGCUUCCAAUCUUCUUAGGCCCCUCAACAUCACGGAUGUGCAACACCCCCUCGCUCGUCUUGAUAGAUUGAGGGUGUUUCAGCACUUCCGUGAGGUAGGGAUUGAUGACCUUCUCGAAGAUCUUGUCCUUAAGAGCGUUUGGGGAAGUCAUGAUGAUCUAGAUCUAUCACAGAAAUAGGCUCGAAACAAAAACAGAGGAAAACUGCGUGAUACGGAGAUCAAAACCUUCGGGCGAAUAUAUAUUUAUUUUUUCUGGACCAGAAGGAGUGCUCCGCAAGAAAACGGAGUCUGGGAGGCACACGAGGUGCCCACAAGCCCUCCCUCCGCCACCAGGGGGGUAGGGGCGGUGUCCAAGCUUGUGGUCGCCUCGUGCGCUCUCCGGACUGCUUUUUAUUUUUCUAAUUUUCCAAAAAUUCCAAAAUGGAGGAAAUUUGCUAUUGGAAAAGCAUCAGAGUCCAAUUUCUUACCGAAACAGAUACCUCUUCGUUUUCAGGGUGUGAAACAGGCUGAUAAACAUCCCUUAUGUACUCCUCUGGAGUUAUGACAUUGAUGAUAUUGGUCUCAACAUUUAUGGGAGUACCAGAGAUGUAAUGCUUGAUUCUUUCCCCAUUUACCACUCUAGGAAAAUUUCCUUCCGUGUUAUUGAUUUUGAUGGCACCGGAACGAUAUACUUCCUCGAUAACAUAAGGACCUUCCCAUUUCGAGAGAAGCUUGCCUCCAAAGAAUCUCAAACAAGAAUUGUAUAGCAAGACAUAAUCACCUACAUUGAACUCUCGUUUCUGUAUUCGUUUGUCGUGCCAUCUCUUAACCUUUUCCUUGAACAACUUGGCAUUCUCAUAUGCAUGGGCCCUCCAUUCAUCUAACGAGCUGAUAUCAAACAACCGCUUCUCACCGGCAAGUUUGAAAUCAAAGUUGAGCUCUUUGAUUGCCCAAUAAGCUUUGUGUUCCAGCUCAAGAGGUAAAUGACAGGCCUUACCGUAAACCAUUUUAUACGGCGACAUGCCCAUGGGAUUCUUAUAGGCAGUCCUAUAAGCCCAUAGUGCAUCGUCAAGUUUGCUAGACCAAUUCUUUCGAGAUCUAUUGACGGUCUUUUGUAGGAUCAAUUUGAUCUCCCUAUUACUCAACUCCACUUGACCACUAGACUGAGGAUGAUAAGGAGAUGCAACUCUAUGGUUGACAUCAUACUUAGCGAGCAUCUUGCGGAAAACACAAUGAAUGAAGUGUGAACCGCCAUCAGUCAUCAAAUAUCUAGGGACUCCAAAUCUUGCGAAUACGACUUCUUUAAGCAUCUUAAUAGAGGUGUGGUGAUCAGCAUUUUUAGUGGGGAUAGCUUCUACCCACUUAGUGACGUAAUCCACAACAACUAAGAUGUGAGUGUACCCAUUGGAACUCGGGAAAGGUCCCAUAUAAUGAAAGCCCCAGACAUCAAAUGGUUCAAUGACAAGUGAAUAGUUCAUAGGCAUUUCCUGACGCUUACUGAUGUUCCCUAUUCUUUGGCAUUCAUCACAAGACAAGACAAACUUACGGGCAUCCUUGAAGAGAGUGGGCCAAUAGAAACCUGAUUGCAAUACCUUAUGGGCAGUUCUAUCUCCAGCGUGGUGUCCUUUGUAGGCUUCGGAAUGACACUUCUGCAAGAUCUGUCCCUGUUCAUGUUCAGGCACACAACGUCUAAUAACACCAUCUACUCCUUCCUUAUAAAGGUGGGGAUCAUCCCAAAAGUAGUGUCUCAAAUCAAAGAAGAAUUUCUUCUUUUGCUGAUAGGUGAAACUAGGUGGUAUGUAUUUGGCUACGAUAUAAUUUGCAUAAUUGGCAUACCACGGUGCACUAUGUGAAGUGCGGAUGACAUUUAAUUGCUCAUCAGGAAAGUUUUCAUCAAUAGGUAGUGGGUCAUCAAGGACAUUCUCUAGCCUAGACAAGUUAUCUGCUACAGGGUUAUCAGCACCCUUUCGGUCAACGACGUGCAAAUCAAAUUCCUGUAGCAGGAGAACCCAUCUGAUAAGCCUAGGCUUAGUGUCCUUCUUCUCCAUAAGGUACUUAAUAGCAGCAUGAUCAGAGUGAAUAGUGACUUUGGAGUCAACUAUAUAAGAUCUAAACUUUUCACAUGCAAACACGACUGCUAAAAACUCCUUUUCCGUAGUGGCAUAGUUUCUUUGGGCACUGUCUAGAGUUUUACUAGCGUAGUGAAUAACAUUCAACUUCUUGUCAACUCUUUGUCCUAGAACAGCACCAACAGCAUAAUCACUAGCGUCACACAUGAUUUCAAAGGGCAAGUUCCAAUCAGGUGGUUGAACAAUGGGUGCGGUUAUCAAAGCCUUCUUAAGUAUUUCAAAGGCUUCCUCACAAUCCUCAUCAAAAACAAAAGGUACAUCCUUCUGCAAGAGGUUGGUAAGAGGCCUAGAAAUCUUAGAGAAGUCUUUAAUGAACCUUCUAUAGAAACCAGCAUGACCUAGGAAACUUCGUAUACCUCUGAUAUCUGUGGGGCAAGGCAUUUUCUCAAUUGCAUCAACCUUAGCCUUAUCAACUUCAAUGCCUCUUUCAAAAAUCUUGUGUCCUAAAACGAUGCCUUCAUUAACCAUAAAGUGGCACUUCUCCCAAUUCAAGACGAGGUUGGUAUCUUCGCAUCUCUGUAAGACUCAAUCAAGGUUGCUGAGGCAAUCAUCAAAGGAAGACCUAUAAACGGAGAAGUCAUCCAUGAAAACCUCGACAAUCUUUUCACAAAAGUCAGAGAAUAUAGCCAUCAUACAUCUUUGAAAGGUGGCAGGUGCAUUGCAUAAGCCAAAAGGCAUACGUCUAUAAGCAAAGGUACCGAAGGGGCAGGUGAAAGUAGUUUUCUCCUGAUCAGAUUGUGCAACAGGUAUUUGCGAGAAACCUGAAUAACCGUCUAGAAAGCAAAAGUGUGUGUGUUUUGAUAGCCUUUCUAGCAUUUGGUCGAUGAACGGCAAAGGAUAAUGGUCUUUCCUGGUUGCCUUGUUCAGUUUCCGGAAGUCUAUCACCAUCCUAUAGCCGAUAAUAAUCCUUUGUGGGAUUAGUUCAUCCUUAUCAUUAGGAACGACGGUGAUACCUCCCUUCUUAGGUACGCAAUGUACUGGACUUACCCAAUCACCAUGAGCAACAGGAUAAAUGAUUCAUGCUUCCAGAAGCUUUAAUAUUUCUUUUCUCACGACCUCUUUCGUCUUAGGAUUUAAUCUCCUUUGAUGAUCAGCAACUGGUUUAAAGUCAGGAUCGGUUUUAAUCUUGUGGUGACAUAGAGUGGGACUAAUACCCUUAAGAUCAUCAAGAGUAUAUCCAAUAGAAGCACGGUGCUUCCUCAGAGUUCUUAGUAACUUCCUCUCUUCGUGCUGUGAGAGGAGAGCGCUAAUAAUAACAGGAUAUAUCUCCUUCUCAUCAAGAUAGGCAUACUUAAGAGUAUCUGGCAACUGUUUAAGCUCGAACACAGGAUCACCCUUUGGUGGGGGAGGAUCCCCAAGCAGUUCAACAAGCAGAUUAUUCUUGAGAAUAGGAUAUUGUUCUAAGAAAAUUUUAUCUAUCUCAUCUCUCUCCUCCAUAUGCAUAUCAUUUUCAUGCUCAAGAAGAUAUUGCUCUAAAGGAUUCGUAGGAGGUACGGCAAUAGAGGCAAGAGCAAUGAUUUCAUCCCUACCAGACGACUCUCUUUCAUGGGGUUGUCUUUCAAACUUGGAGAAGUUAAAUUCAUGAGACACACCCUCGAAACUAACUGUGACGGUCUGCUUAAUGCAAUCAAUGUGAGCAUUGACAGUGUUGAGAAAGGGUCUACCAAAUAUGAUGGGACAAAAGCUAUCUUGUGCAGUACCAAGGACGAGGAAAUCAGUAGGAUGCUUCGUCUUACCACACAGAACUUCUACUUCUCUCACAAUUCCCAGAGGGUAGAUAGUGUCUCUAUUAGCUAGCGUAAUAGUGACAUCAAUGGGUUCUAACUCAGCAGGUGCAAUCUCAUCUUUGAUUACAUCAUAUAGGGAACGGGGUAUUGCACUAACACUAGCUCCCAUAUCACAUAAACCAUGGUAACAGUGAUCUCCUAUCUUGACAGAAACAACGGGCAGGCCAACUACAGGUCCGUAUUUAUCUUUCGCGUGAGGUUUAGCAAUUCUAGCGGAGUCCUCACAGAAUUUGAUAACAUGCCCGUCUAUGUCUUCAGCUAAGAGAUCUUUGAUAAUAGCAACACUAGGUUCAACUCUAAUUUCCUCAGGGGGUGCAAGUGGUCUAAUGUAAUCCUACGUAUCACAGUUGGAGCUUUAGAAUAAUCCUUUAUCCUAGCAGGGUAUGGUGGUUUCUCAGUGUAUGCACAAGGAACAACAGGAUCACUAAAAGCAAUGACUUUCUCCUCAACUAGAUUGGUUUUGGCUAUGUUGCUUUCUACAGGAGGAUCAUAUUUUAAACCACUUCUCUUUGGGAAGAUCAACAUGAGCAGCAAAAUAUUCACAUAGAGAAGCUACUAUCUCAGAGUCAAGUCCAUACUUAGCGCUAAAAUCUCUAGAAGUGUUUGUCUCAACAAAAGAUUUAACGCAAUAAAACUAGAAAUUCAUACCUGACUCCUUACCUUCCUCUAGCUCCCAAUCUUCAGAGUUGCGUUUGAUUCUUUCCAAUAAAUUCCACUUGUGAUCAAUAUCCUUCUUCAUAAAAGAACCGGUACAAGAAGUGUCAAGCAUGGUACGAUCUUCAUGAGAAAGCCGAGCAUAAAAGUUUUGAGUGAUGAUUUCUCUCGAGAGCUCAUGAUUCGGGCAUGAAUAUAGCAUUGAUUUAAUCCUCCCCCAAGCUUGAGCUAUGCUUUCCCUAUCACGAGGCCAAAACUUAUAAAUAAAGUUCCGAUCACGAUGUACUAAAUGCAUAUGAUAGAACUUUUGAUGAAAUUCCAAUUUCAACCGAUUGUAGUCCCAUGAUCCAGUAUCAUCACAUAGCCUAUACCAUGUCAACGCUUUAUCCUUAAAAGAAAAAGGAAAGAGUUUCUUCUUUACCUCAUCCUCGGGCAAACCUGCAAGCUUAAAUAAACCACAAACUUCAUCUACAUAGAUCAGAUGCAAGUCUGGAUGUGAAGAUCCAUCUCCUAUAAAAGGAUUAGCGAGCAAUUUCUCAAGCAUACCCGAAGGAAUUUCAUAAAAGAUAUUUUCAGUAGGUACCUCAGGUCGAGGAACAAUGCCUCGUGCUUCCGUUAGUGGUGAAGAUACCCCGAACAAACUCCUCAAAGGAACAGUUUCCAUAGUGACAAGUGACAAUAAAUUUCAGCACAGUAUAAAAAUGUUUCCUUACCAAUUUCCACUUACCAAAGGCGCUUCAAUCCCCGGCUACGGCGCCAGAAAAGAGUCUUGAUGACCCACAAGUAUAGGGGAUCAAGCGUAGUCCUUUCGAUAAGUAAGAGUGUCGAACCCAACGAGGAGCAGAAGGCUCUGAUAAAUGGAUUUCAGCAAGGUAAUAACUGCAAGCACUGAAAGUAGCGGUAACAAGUGAUGGUGUAGCGAGGUGAAACGUAACAAGUGAAAAGUAAAAAGUAACAAGUAGUAGCAAUGGUGCAUAAAGUGGCCCAAUCCCUUUUGUAGCAAGGGACAAGCCUGAACAAAGUCUUAUAGGAGGAAAAACGCUCCCGAGGACACAUGGGAAUUUCUGUCAUGCUAGUUUCAUUAUGUUCAUAUGAUUCGCGUUCGUUACUUUGAUAGUUUGACAUGUGGGUGGACCGGUGCUUGGGUAUUUCCCUUACUUGGACAAGCAUCCCACUUAUGAUUAACCUCUCUCGCAAACAUCCGCAACUAAAAAAGAAGAAUUAAGACAACGUCUAACCAUAGCAUUAAACUAGUGGAUCCAAAUCAGCCCCUUACGAAGCAACGCAUAGACCGGGGUUUAAGCUUUUGUCACUCCAGGAACCCAUCAUCUGCUUACUACUCCCCAAUGCCUUCCUCUAGGCCCAAAUAUGGUGAAGUGUUAUGUAGUCGACGUUCACAUAACACCACUAGAGGAAUCACAACAUACAGCAUAUCAAAAUAUCGAACGAAUAUCAAAUUCACAUGACUAUUAUCAGCAUGACUUAUCCCAUGUCCUCAGGAACAAAAGUAACUACUCACAAAGCAUAAUCAUAAUCAUGAUCAGAGGUGUAAUGAGUAGCAUCAAGGAUCUGAACAUAAACUCUUCCACCAAGUAAUCCAACUAGCAUCAACUACAAAGAGUAAUCAACACUAGUAGUAACCUUACAAGUACCAAUCGGAGUCGUGAGACGAAGAUUGGUUACAAGAGAUGAACUAGGGAUUGGAGAGGAUACGGUGCUGAUGAAGAUGUUGAUGAAGAUGCCUCCCCUCCGACGAGAGGAGUGUUGGUGAUGAUGAUGGCGACGAUUUCCCCCUCCGGGAGGGAAGUUUCCCCGGCAAGAUCGUCAUGCCUGAGCUCUAGAUUGGAUCUGCUCAAGUUCCGCCUCGUGGCGGCGGCGAAACCACGAAAAAGAUCCCGGUUGAUUUUUUCUGUAACGAAACCCUUCAUAUAGCAAAAGAGGGGGGCUAGUGGGCCGUCAGGGAGCCCACAAGCUUGCCCUCCGCCACCAGGGGAUGGCGGUGGCAGGGCUUGUGGCGCUCUGGCAGCCCCCCUCUGGUACUUCUUUCGCCCAGUAUUUUUUAUAUAAUCCCAAAAAAAUUCACGUAACUUUUCAGGGCAUUUGGAGAUGUGCAGAAUAGUGGACUAAGAUUUGCUCCUUUUCCAGUCGAGAAUUCCAGCUGCCUGAAUUCUCCCUCUUCAAAUAAACCUUGCAAAAUAAGAGAGAAAAGGCAUAAAUAUGGUACCACAAAGUAAUAUAACAGCCCAUAAAGCAAUAAAUAUCAACAUGAAAGCAUGAUGCAAAAUGGGCGUAUCAAGCUUCACUUAAUGUGUAGCAUUUGAAUGUGUGAAUUGCCAUGUCUUGCCUUGCAUAAUUUAAACUCGACAUGCAUCAUAUUAGGGUGUGAAUCAUAUCAUGCAUGUGUGUGGUGAAUAUCGUAUGUUGAUUCUUGUUUCUGAUUUGCUUCGUCUCAAUAGAGUUCUGCAAGCGUGUCGAAAUGUGAGGAUCCGUUCGACUAUGUUGGUUCGUCUGCUUCACGGAGUCGUUCUUCUUCCAAGCGGGAUCUCAGGCCAGAUGAUCAUUUUCCUAGAUACCAUUACUAUCAAUGCCAUGCUAGUUUUCUUGUUUCUUUCAUUUUGUCUCGCUGCCUACCACAUGUUUAACAUGACUCCCAACAUUGCCAUGAAAACCUUCAACAUGUUCACAACCUAGCAAUCCACUGUUUGGCUAUGUUACCUCUUGCUUAACCAUGUGUUAGAGUUGCUAGUUGCAGGUGCAGUUGCUUCCAUGUGAAAACAUGGGUUCCUUUUUAUAUCACCAUAUUAAUUGCUAUUUAAACUAAUGCACCUACAUAGUUGGUAAAAGGUGGAAGGCUCGGCUUUCUAGCCUGGUGUUUUGUUCCACCUUUGUCGCCUUAGUUUCGCCUACCGGUGUUAUGUUCCAUAAUUGAGCGCUCCUAACAUGCUUGGGUUUGUUAUGGGGACCCCCUAGAUUCUCGUUUUGGGAUAAAGCUCGUUGGCAAGGCCCAACAUUGGUACUAUAUUUGCCCAACAUAAUGAUAUUGAUUUUAAUGUGACGCAUAGGGAGCUAGCGCUACCCGAGGAGUAAUUCAACAUAAUACAGGGAGGGCCAGUGUUGAUGGUGCUGGUCCUAAACAUAGCAUUGUGUGGGGCCUACCCAGGGCAACUUGGGUGAUUUCUAUCAAGCCACCGUACGCGUGGCUUAUCCAUCGUGUCCUGAGAACGAGAUACGCGGCUCCUAUGAGGAUCGUCGACACGCCGGGCGGCCUUGCUGGACUUGUUUUACCUUUCUCGGGCGUCUUGUGUGAUUGAUUCCGAGGAUACUUUGGGCUAUCUCGAGGUUGAGAUUUUCCAAUAGGAACCCAGGAGAUCACGGGCUUCCCUAAUCGAGGUCAUUCCGUCGCAGCGUGUGUUAGUUUGUGAUGGACUAGUUGGAGCACCCCUGCAGGGUUAAAUCUUUCGGAAAGCCAUCCGGUUCAAGAUAACUUGAAGUAAGCUUAAUUAAAAUAUGCCAACUGUGUGUGUAACCGUGACUGUCUCUUUCAUGAGCUCCUUCUCCGAUCAAGGACGCGGUGGGGUUAUGUCCGACGUAAGUAGGUGUUCCAGAUCAUUCAUUUGAUCACCAGUAGCUCACGUCCGCUAUGUGUAGAUCUUCCCCCUCUUUAUUCUUGUACUCGAAGUUAGCCAUCUCAAAUAAAUGCUUAGUCGCGUGCUGCAGACUCACCACUUAACCAUACCUCACCCAUUAAGCUUUGCUAGUCUUGAUACCUUUGGAAAUGAGAUUGUUGGGUCCCUUUGGCUCACAAAUUACUACAACACCAAUUCAGGUACAGGUAAAGGAUAUUAAGACGUGAGCGCGAUGAUUGUGCUAUUUGGAGUUUCUUCUUCUUCUUCUUCGAUCUAGGAUAGGUUCCAGGCCGCACCCUGGGAUAGCAAAGAUGGGCAUCGCUCUUUUAUCGUUUGUUUUCGUCCAUAGUUGGACUCUGAUCUUCUUCAUGAUGACUCUUUAUGUUAUUGUGUUGAUGUGACUUUGAUGUAGCUUGUGGCGAGUGUAAGCCAACUCUUUAUACUCAUCUUUUCAGUACAUGUACUUGUAACGAUAUCCAUUCUUGCGAAACGACGAGAUGCAUUUCUAUCCUUGUCGAGACCCUCGCGCCAAAAUAAGGAUAGGACCGCAUCUUGGGCGUUACACCUUGCCCUUGUAGUCUUGUGGUGGAAGGUCAUCUUGAAAGCUUGUUCCCUUGGGAGGAGUAGGAUCAUACUUCUCCUCUUGAGGAACAAACUUGGGAAUGGGAUAUUGACCUUCUUCCCAAACAUCUGUGUUGACGUUGAAGUAACCAACAUCUUGCUUCUUCCGAUGUCCUCCUCGCUUGCACACAAUUUCUUCGAAUUUCUUACUUUCGGCAAGACUCUUGAAGACACCUCUCUCUAUAGUUCCUUCCAAUAAGUUGUUUUCUUGCUCAAGUGGAACUUGGCUAAGAGAAUCAUUAGUGGAAUCAAGAGGCCCCAAGGUAACAGUCUUAUCAAGGAGCAAGUCAUAUUCCCCUAACAAGUCAUCCUCAUCACUAUCAAAGUCAAAGUACUCGGGGUGUGAUACCUUGGGGCCUUUUGCCAUGAAGCAGUUUCCAAUCCCUUCAUUUGGUGAACCAAAUAUCGUUUGUGAUUGAUGGAUUACACACAGUUUUAUUGAAGGGUCUUUGAUUGAUGUGUUGUCUUUGGACCAUCAUGUAGUAAUGAAUACCGCGAAGCUACCGAACUGCCUCGGGGUUCGCAUGCCCCAGACAAUUCCAACUGUUACAACUCAUUGGGAUGGGAGGACUACUCUGCACCUACCACCAAAUUGUCAGGUGUGGGCUUCUUCUUCUUCUUCUUAUUAUUAUUAUUAUUAUUAUUAUUUAAAGUCCUCUCUAAUUUAUUUGCAUCCUCAUAAGCUUCUACAUCCCCCUCCACCAUUGAUAUCUUGUAUUUUCAGUUUCAAAUAUAUCGUCAGCGCCCAUAAGCCGGAGAGAGUUAGUUGCUACCAGUCUAUAAACUUGUUUUGGUGCUCCCUUCUGUUUAACAUUUGUACAGUCUUUCACCGGGGAUGUCACUCUACACCCUUACCAACAUUGAAAGUAUUCUCAGAUUCUCGCUGACUAUUCGACAUCGUGUUUUGCUCUGACCCGAACUAUCAACCAAAGCAGUCUUUCGGUGAUCUUCAGGUACCCUCAUCAUCGUUUAAAAGGGGAGUUCACCUUUAUCAUCUCGAGGACCUGGAGUUGGGCACAUGAGCUCUAUGUAUCCCAGACGGCCACACGAGAAGAAAAAGUGUGAAACUUGUUCAUAUUGGAUGUCGUAUAGAUCAGUCUUAUGUCUCUUUGUUGAUUCGAUCAAGAUCCACCUCCUCAGAGGUUUACUAAUAUCAAUGGAUACCCUCGCCCGUAGAAAUCCACCAACAUGAUUAAACUGGAUUGAGGUAGUGUUGUUAUCUAUCUGUUGUGCGAUCAACUUCCCCCAUGUAUCAUUGUGGAGAUUGUAUGGGAGAUUUGGAACCCUAGCCCACAGAUGGAGCUGUUCAAACUUGACCUCAUUGAGUCACAUGCAGUCCUUAAAGUCCGCCAAGAUUACUGUGUUCUUGCUCAUGUUCCAUGAUCCCAUCCACAUGCGAUCAUGAUCCCUUUUGUGAUGCCCUCGAUUUUAUCGUAUGCUAAUCAUACACGCAAAUGCGUAUGACCAAGCUCAAGGACUCACGGAAAGAUAUCACAACACAACUCUAGACACAAAUAAAAACAUACAAGCUUCAUAUUACAAGCCAGGGGCCUCGAGGGCUAGAAUACAGAAGCUCGAUAAACACACGAGUCAGCGGAAGCAACAAAUAUAUGAGUACAGACAUAAAACAUGACAAUGCCUUAGAGAAGGCUAGCACAAAAGAUACAUCGAUCGAUCGAACAAGGCGAGGCCUCCUACCUGUGAACCUCCUAAACUACUCCUGGUCAUUAACGGCCUCCACGUAGUAGUGGGCACCAUCGGGAUAGCAGUCGUCGUCGGCGGGAUACGCCAUCUCUUGGGCUCCAUCAUCUGAUCGCAGCAAUCGAAUCAAGGGGAAAAGGGGGAGCAAAGCAACGGUGAGUACUCAUCCAAAGUACUCGCAAGACUGACAUCGGACUAUUCUAAGUUAUGCAUCAGUAUCAAAUGAAUGAGGUUGUAUGUGUACUAAUUGCAACAAUGCAAGAAUAGAGAGAGGGGACUAGUCCUAUCGAAGACUAGCAUCUUCAGGGGUCUUCCAGCAAUAGACGAGGGUAGAGCAAGUAACACAAUUAAAUAAUCAUAGUGUUGCAGCAAUAUUAAUUAAGGUCACGCCUAGAGAUUCUUCCUCGAAUCCCUGCGAGAAAGCAAUCCCGGGGCAAACAUUCGAGUUAACUAACAGUUCUAGUUGUAUAAGAUAAGGGCAAAACUCCAAGUCGUCCUGUAACCAUGGACACGGCUAUUCAAAUAGUUAGUUUUCAUCCCUGCAGUGGUGCUCCACAGUACCCAACACGCUUGAUAAACUCUGGUCGGAAACACUUUCCUGGGUCAUGCCCGGCCUUGGAACAUCAACACGUUGCAGCCUACCUAGGCUCAAUAGAGAGGCCAGCCCGCCGGUCUAAAUCCUAAGCGCGUAGGAGUCGUGGGCCCAUCACCCUUUGCACUCCUGCACGAUGUGUGGGCGGUCGAAGUCAGUCCUGGCACCUCUUAUGCAAGAACGAUGCUUACGCGGACCACUGGGUCGCGCGCCACUCCAUUGUUGAUGUGUGAAGAGCUUCGGCUUAUACCACGACGUCGAGUACCCAUAACUUCUCCCACGUGAAGGUUAGUGUGAAAAGGUCUCCCGGCCAACUCUGAUCAAAUACCCAAAUCCCGUUAGCAUUUUAAUUAACACUGCGGCGACUAUCAGCAAUCCAUGAUAUGUGGUCCCGUCACCCCGUCUCGAGGAUGUGUAGCAAGGGCCCAGAAUGCCCGGCCACGCCUCAUCACAUUCACGCGGGAAUCCACCCACAACACACCUCAUCAUUUUCCUAGUAGCAAGGUCAAGUAACUGUGCGACUGUAACAUCAGAGGGAUCCGAGGUAUCACCCUCGAUGGAUUCCAAAUGAUGUAAUCGUCAAGGUGGCCAGGGAAGAAUCACCCUCCGUGAACCAGCACCGGUUAACCACACUACAGAGCUAACAUCGGGGGUACGUAUCGAGGUGUCACCUUCGGUACUCGACAAUAGCUCUGCAACAUCGUACAACUAAGGGGGUGUUAGUGAUGUGACGGGUCUUGGCUCGUCGAUCAAAAGAUUGAGACUUCGAUGAUAAAGCGGGGCAACUGAUCUUAGGGGGGUCAAAGGGGACCACUGCUCCACAUAUAUUAAACAGUUUAAAGUACGAUAGAGUAAAGUAGCACUUCAUCAAAAAGAGGCUAUGCAUCAGAUAUAGGAGCUAUCUACAACAGUAGCAAAAUUCUAAUGCAAACAUGAGGGAGAAAGAAUAGGCGAUAUAGGAAUGAUCAAGGGGGGUUUGCUUUGCCUUGUUGCUCUAUGGAAAAGGGUUGGUCGUUAGGAGGGUAGUCGUAUCCGGCAGCAACGUCAAUCUCGGGGUCUACCGGUAAGAAGAGGGGGGAUGAAACAAUAAAUAUAAAAGCACAAAUGCAACACGAUGCAUGGCAUGGCAAUAUGCAGGGCUACGCAUGCACUAACGCAGUAUUAUACGUCAUGGACAGAUCGGGAAAAUAUCUGACGAUAUUUCCCGGGUCUUUGGCUACUACCGGACAAGCGAAAAGGAUGGAAAAAGUUCCAUGUUCGUUAUGAUAGGGACGCUUGACAGACGAACGGACACGUAUCCGGGUUCGUCUCGUUUUUCUCAUCAAAUUUCAUGUACAAAACAAUUUCAUCUGGAUUACGGAUUAUUUUAAAUUAAUUUUUAAAGAUAUAAUAAUUAUUUAGGAACUAAAUAUAUUUAAUUAAAUUCAAUAAAUAGUUAUGACAUCACCAUGAUGUCAUGUUGACAUGAGCAGUCAAUGGUCCUAGUUGACUAGUCAAACUAGCCAGUGGGCCCUGUUGUCAUAGUCACAUUUUUAAUUAAGUUUCAUAAACAUUAAUCACAUUUAUUUAGGGGGGUGGGACCCACCUGUCAAUCACACAUUAACUUAACAAGUGCUAAAAUUAUCUAACUACUCUAAUUAAGUUAAUUAACUAACUAAUUAACUAUUUUGAUUAUUACUUUUAAUCCAUUAUAUAUGUAUAUAUAUAUAUCAAAUUAAAUGUUUAGGGGGUGGGGCCCCUCUGUCAACGUCACGGGGAGGGAGGGAGGUUAGUGGGGGCCUGGCUAUGGUCGAGGCCACCGGCGAGGAGACGGGCAGGGGGCAACGGUGGUGUGGCCGGCGGUGUGCCAGCGGCAGCACGCGCGGAAAGCGUCGGCGGCCAGAGGCGUGGCCAGGGCGCACCGGCGGCGAGCGGCGUUGCGGUGGUGGCCACCGGGCUCGAGGCGGACACGGGGCUGCGGGGGCCAGGGCGAUGCCAGGGUGGUGCACAACGUCGGGGCUCUUCUUGCCGGAGGGGGGGCUCGCCGGAGUGAGUGGUGGCGCGGUGGCCGCGGGUUGCCGGAGUUGGGGAGAGGAGGAGAGGGGCCUCACUACUGAUGUAGUGGGAGGCAGUGUCUCAAGAAGGACCAGCGGGGUAGUCCGAUGGGGGAGAGGCGGUGGAGGCCGGCGAGGGGGCGGCACCGACCGGUGGGCCGUCGGGCCGGAGGGACGAUGCUAGUUGGGAGGGCGGGGCGCCGCUAGGGGAGGGGGGUUCAGGUGAGGGGGGAGUGGGGAGUGAGUGGGGGCUGGGGUCGCCGGUUAGGGUUCCUUGGGGGUUAAAUACCCCCACGUGGGGUGGGCUGAAUUAGGUGGGCCGGUUGGGGCCGACCCACUGGGGGAGUUUUUUUUUUGCUUUGUUUUUUGUUUUUUCAGUCUUAUUUAUUUUAGCAACCAAAAGACCUUUGUAGUUUUCACAAAAUGAUUCAAUAAAGAUGUGACAAUAUUAGACUCUGCCACAAAAAGUUUGGGGGCAUUUGACAAAGGUUUGGAAUUUACUUAAUUUAAAAGGCGUCCCAUUUAUUGUUUAGGCCUUAGUUUUAAUUAGUUUUGAGGUACCAAAUUUAUUCAAAAAAUGUUGGUUGCAGUUUUAUACUAAUUUAGGGAUUAUUUACAACCCAUGCAUGAUUUUUAUUUUGAAGUUUGCAAAACUUUUAUAUCCAUUUUUGAAAUGAAUUUGAAUUGCAGAAGAAUUUGAAUCAGAGUUUGAUUCCAACUGUGAUCAUAACUGGACUAGCAAAAGCAUUAGCUUAAUCUUGGCCAUCUCUCUAGCUUAAUUACAAUGAUUACUGUAGCAUAAUCCGGGGAUGUCACACCUUUGAGCCUUAAACUCUGCCACAAACAUGUUUUCCCUCAUAUGGAACAUAACUGUAGUCCUCGGGGAUUCCCUUAAACAGGCCAAAGAGCACCUUCUAUUGUUUGGAUGUGGAGCAAAUUCCGGUGGAGGACCUUGCCGACGAUCAGCCAUCUCUUUGUCUUACAUCUCUAUCAUCUAUCACAAACAAUGUUGCUUCUUCAUUGAUUAUACCCAGCUUGCCUAAUGCCUCUUCCAGACGAGCAGUUAUGGGCGACUCCCAGACCCCUCUCAUCGCGUGCGUCAUGAGAAGAUAUGGUCAUCUCCUCGCUGCAGAAUCUCGAUCGUGCCCCGCCGGUGAAAACUAGUGGCCGCCACACUUCCACGUCGAAACCCUAGGCGUCGUCAGAGGGGUAUCUGGGUUUUUGGGAAAUACUAUAAGGGCAUGUUUGGUUAUAUUGGCAACCGAGCCUGGCCUGGCUAGCCUAGCUCUAGUGAUCCGGUUUGAGGGGAUGCACGCAAAAGGAUCCUGGAUGCACAUAGUUUGGUUGCCUGCAUGUACCUUAGUUGCAUGAGACAAUCAUUUUUGACACGGCGUUUGGUUGCCCGCAUUACAUUAGGCGAACAUAUGACAUGGCGUUUGGUUGCAACCUGCAUAAGUUGUUGUCACCACUUGUAACUAGUGGUGAGCUUACCGCACACAAUCUGAACAUGUAGUGCCAGCUAAUUAAACAAAUGACAGUUCAUCCUAACUACUAUCAAAUGACAGAACAAAUUAUUAAGAGCCAUUGGCUAAAUAGGCGAUACUUCAUUGGUGUUACUGCUACGAAAUCUUCCUUUUCAUCUUCCUCUUCUUCUGCUUGUGCUUCUGUUGUUGUUGCUUCUUCUUCCUCCUCUUCUUCAAAUCAUGCACUGACCUCUGUUAAGCCACAUUGCCUCUGCCCACUCCAACCUUUUGUUCUUCCAAGCGUCAUUGUCAAAUGCCUCCACACCAUGACCAGAGCUAACAACAUGGGCAAGCUCGACCUCUUCCUCCUCAAGCACGUGUUCAUCAAAGCCCCACUUGAGGAUCGAGUUAUGCAGAAUGCAACAAGCAAGAACAAGCUUAACCUGAGUGGGUAUGGGUGGAAUGGCUUCUAAUCCAGGAUCUUAAACAUAUUCUUCAGAGCUCCAAAUGCCCUCUCAACAGUUACUCUAAGGCUGGAGUGUCUAAUAUUAAACAACUCAUGUGCAGUUCUACGAUAAUUCCUACCAGUGAACUCGUUGAGAUAGUACCUGGUUUUCCUGAAGGGUGGAAGAACACCCGACCGACAUGCAUAGUGAGCAUCUCCAAGGUAGAACUUGUCGUCAGGGAUAUUGAUCCCAUCAGGUCGAGUCAUGUUGUCACUGAGAAUGUAAGCAUCAUGUGUUGACCCCUCCCAGCCAGCCAACACAUAUGUGAACUUUAGAUCAAAGUCAACAGCAGCAAGCACAUUCUGGCUUGUGUAGUGCUUCCUCCCCCUGUAUUUUGUAGACUAUGACCUAGGAACUCUAGCAGUGACAUGAGUACCAUCUAUUGCCCCAAUGCAAUCCUAAAAAUGGCAUCACAAGCCUGUGUUAGUGCUUAACUUGAACAAUACAAGCAUAUCAAGCCAUGAAAAGUGUAUAUUUUUGUUGGAAAUAUGCCCUAGAGGCAAUAAUAAAUUAGUUAUUAUUAUAUUUCUUAGUUCAUGAUAAUCGUUUAUUAUCCAUGCUAUAAUUGUAUUGAUUGGAAACACAAUACUUGUGUGGGUACAUAGACAAAACACUGUCCCUAGUAAGCCUCUAGUUGACUAGCUCGUUGAUCAAAGAUGGUCAAGGUUUCCUGGCCAUAGGCAAGUGUUGUCACUUGAUAACGGGAUCACAUCAUUAGGAGAAUCAUGUGAUGGACUAGACCCAAACUAAAUAGACGUAGCAUGUUGAUCGUGUCAUUUUGUUGCUACUGUUUUCUGCGUGUCAAGUAUUUGUUCCUAUGACCAUGAGAUCAUAUAACUCACGGACACCGGAGGAAUGCUUUGUGUGUAUCAAACGUCGCAACAUAACUGGGUGACUAUAAAGAUGCUCUGCAGGUAUCUCCGAAGGUGUUCGUUGAGUUAGUAUGGAUCGAGACUGGAAUUUGUCGCUCCGUGUGACGGAGAGGUAUCUCGGGGCCCACUCGGUAAUACAACAUCAAACACAAGCCUUGCAAGCAAUGUGACUUAGUGUAAGUUACGGGAUCUUGUAUUACGGAACGAGUAAAGAGACUUGCCGGUAAACGAGAUUGAAAUAGGUAUGCGGAUACUGACGAUCGAAUCUCGGGCAAGUAACAUACCGAAGGACAAAGGGAAUGACAUACGGGAUUAUAUGAAUCCUUGGCACUAAGGUUCAAACGAUAAGAUCUUCGUAGAAUAUGUAGGAUCCAAUAUGGGCAUCCAGGUCCUGCUAUUGGAUAUUGACCGAGGAGUCUCUCGGGUCAUGUCUACAUAGUUCUCGAACCCGCAGGGUCUGCACACUUAAGGUUCGACGUUGUUUUAUGCGUAUUUGAGUUAUAUGGUUGGUUACCGAAUGUUGUUCGGAGUCCCGGAUGAGAUCACGGACGUCACGAGGGUUUCCAAAAUGGUCCGGAAACGAAGAUUGAUAUAUAGGAUGACCUCAUUUGAUUACCGGAAGGUUUUCGGAGUUACUGGGAAUGUACCGGGAAUGACGAAUGGGUUCCGGGAGUUCACCGGGGGGGCAACCGACCCCGGGGAAGCCCAUAGGACUUGACGGUGGCACACCAGCCCUUAGUGGGAUGGUGGGACAGCCCAAAAGGCUCUAUGCGCCAAGGAGAAGAAAAUCAAGAGAGAAAGAAAAAAAAAGGAGGAGGUGGGAAGGAAGGGGGACUCCCUCCCACCAAACCUAGUCCAACUCGGUUUGGGGGGGAGAGUCCUCCCCCUUGGACUCGGCCGACCCCCUUGGGGCUCCUUGAGCCCCAAGGCAAGGUCCCCUCCCUCCCACCUAUAUAUACGGAGGUUUUAGGGCUGAUUUGAGACGACUUUUCCACGGCAGCCCGACCACAUACCUCCACGGUUUUUCCUCUAGAUCGCGUUUCUGCGGAGCUCGGGCGGAGCCCUGCUGAGACAAGGUCAUCACCAACCUCAGGAGCGCCGUCAUGCUGCCGGAGAACUCUUCUACCUCUCCGUCUCUCUUGCUGGAUCAAGAAGGCCGAGAUCAUCGUCGAGCUGUACGUGUGCUGAACGCGGAGGUGUCGUCCGUUCGGUACUAGAUUGUGGGACUGAUCGCGGGAUUGUUCGCGGGGCAGGUUGAGGGACGUGAGGACGUUCCACUACAUCAACCGCAUUCACUAACGCUUCUGCUGUACGAUCUACAAGGGUACGUAGAUCACUCAUCCCCUCUCGUAGAUGGACAUCACCAUGAUAGGUCUUCGUGCGCGUAGGAAAAUUUUUGUUUCCCAUGCGACGUUCCCCAACAGUGGCAUCUUGAGCUAGGUUCAUGCGUAGAUGUCUUCUCGAGUAGAACACAAAAGUUUUUGUGGGCGGUGAUGUGCGUUUUGCUGCCCUCCUUAGUAUUUUCUUGAUUCCGCGGUAUUGUUGGAUCGAAGCGGCUCGGACCGACAUUACUCGUACGCUUACGAGAGACUGGUUUCAUCGCUACGAGUAACUCCGUUGCUCAAAGAUGACUGGCGGGUGUCAGUUUCUCCCACUUUAGUUGAAUCGGAUUUGACCGAGGAGGUCCUUGGAUGAGGUUAAAUAGCAAUUCAUAUAUCUCCGUUGUGGUGUUUGCGUAAGUAAGAUGCGAUCCUACUAGAUACCCAUGGUCACCACGUAAAACAUGCAACAACAAAAUUAGAGGACGUCUAACUUGUUUUUGCAGGGUAUGCUUGUGAUGUGAUAUGGCCAACGAUGUGAUGUGAUAUAUUGGAUGUAUGAGAUGAUCAUGUUGUAAUAGUUAAUAUCGACUUGCAUGUCGAUGGUAUGGCAACCGGCAGGAGCCAUAGGGUUGUCUUUAUAACUAACGUUUGUGCUUGCAGAUGUGUUUACUAUUUUGCUAGGAUGUAGCUUUAGUAGUAAUAGCAUGAGUAGCACGACAACCCCGAUGGCGACACGUUGAUGGAGAUCAUGAUGAUGGAGGAUCAUGGUGUGACGCCGGUGACAAGAAGAUCGUGCCGGUGCUUUGGUGAUGAAGAUCAAGAAGCACGUGAUGAUGGCCAUAUCAUGUCACUUAUGAAUUGCAUGUGAUGUUAAUCCUUUUAUGCACCUUAUUUUGCUUAGAACGAUGGUAGCAUUAUGAGGUGAUCUCUCACUAAAAUUUCAAGACGAAAUUGUGUUCUCCCCGACUGUGCACCGUUGCGACAGUUCGUCGUUUCGAGACACCACGUGAUGAUCGGGUGUGAUAGACUCAACGUUCACAUACAACGGGUGCAAAACAGUUGCACACGCAGAACACUCGGGUUAAGCUUGACGAGCCUAGCAUGUGCAGACAUGGUCUCAGAACACAUGAGACCGAAAGGUCGAGCAUGAAUCGUAUAGUUGAUAUGAUUAGCAUAGAGAUGCUUACCACUGAAACUAUUCUCGACUCACGUGAUGAUCGGACUUGAGAUAGUGGAUUUGGAUCAUGUACCACUCAAAUGACUAGAGAGAUGUACUUUUUGAGUGGGAGUUCUUAAGUAAUAUGAUUAAUUGAACUAAUUGUCAUGAACAUAGUCUAAAUGGUCUUUGCGAAUUACGAUGUAGCUUGCGCUAUAGCUCUACUGUUUUUAUAUGUUCCUAGAGAAAAUUUAGUUGAAAGUUGAUAGUAGCAAACUUUGCAGACAAAGUCUGUAAAACCGAGGAUUGUCCUCGUUGCUGCGCAGAAGGCUUAUGUCCUUAAUGCACCACUCGGUGUGCUGCACCUCGAGCGUCGUCUGUGGAUGCUGUGAACAUCCGACAUACACGUUUUCGAUGACUACACGAUAGUUCAGUGUAAAAUACUUAAAUGGCUUAGAAGCAAGGCGCUGAAAACGUUUUAAAAACGUCACGGAACAUAAGUGAUGUUCGAAAGAGAUGAAAUUGUGAUUUCAUGCUUGUGCCCUUGUUAAGAGGUACGAGACCUCCAACAAGAUUCUUUGUCCACAAAGUAAAGGAGAAAAGCUCAAUCGUUGAGCAUGUGCUCAGAUUGUCUGAGUACGACAAUCACUUGAAUCAAGUGGGAGUUAAUCUUCCAGAUGAGAUAGUGAUGGUUCUCCAAAGUCACUGCCACCAAGCUGUGAGAGCUUCGUGAUGAACUAUAACAUAUCAAGGAUAAAUGCAAUGGUCCUUGAGAAAUUCGCGAUGUUUGACACUGCGAAAGUACAAAUCAAGAAGGAGCAUCAAUAGUUGAUGGUUUGUAAAACCACUAAGUUUCAAGAAGGGCAAGGGCUAGAAGGGAUACUUCGUGAAACGGAAAAACAGUUGCUGCACUAAUGAAGAGACCCAAGAUUAAACCCAAACCCGAGACUAAGUGCUUCUGUAAUGAGGGGAACAGUCACUAAGGCGGAGCAACUCUAGAUACUUGGUAGAUAAGAAGGCUGGCAAAAGUCGAAAGAAGUGUAUUUGAUAUACAUGAUGUUGAUGUGUACUUUACUAGUACUCCUAGUAGCAUGUGGGUAUUGGAUACCGGUUCGGUUGCUAAGUGAUUAGUAACACGAAAUGUAAGCUACGGCAUAAACGGAGACUAGCUAAAGGCAAGGUGACGAUACGUGUUGGAAGUGUUUCCAAGGUUGAUAUGAUCAAACGUCGCACGCUCCCUCUACCAUCGGGAUUGGUGUUAAACCUAAAUAAUUGUUAUUUGGUGCUUGCGUUAAGCAUGAACAUGAUUGGAUCGUGUUUAUUGCAAUACGAUUAUUCAUUUAAAGAGAAUAAUGGUUACUCUAUUUUCUUGAAUAAUCACCUUCAAUGGUUUAUUGAAUCUCGAUCGUAGUGUUACACAUGUUCAUGAUAUUGGUGCCAAAAGAUACGAGUUGAUGAUGAUAGUACCACUUACUUGUGGCACUGCCGCUUGAGUCAUGUUAGUAUAAAUUGCAUGAAGAGGCUCCAUGCUGAUGGAUCUUUGUACUCACCUGAUUUCGAAUCACUAGUGACAUGCAAAUCAUACCACAUGAGCAAGGCCUUGUUUUCAUUAAGAUGAAAUAAGAUAGUAACUUGUUGGAAGUGAUACAUUUUGAUGUAUGCAGUCCAAUGGUUGCUGAGGCAUGCAGUGGAUAUCAUUAUGUUCUUACUUCACUGACGAUUUGAGUAGAUACUGGAAUAUUUACUUAAUGAAUCACAAGUCUGAAAUGUUGAAAAGUUCAAUUCCGUUUCAGAGUGAAGUUCGUCGUAACAAGAGGAUAAACUGUCUACGAUAUGAUCAUGGAAAUGAAUAUCUGAGUUACGAGUUUUGGUACACAGUUAAGACAAUGUGGAAAUUGUUUCGCAGUUCAUGCCACGUGGAACAUCAUAGUGUGAUGAUGUGUCUGAACGUCAUAGCCACGCACUAUUUGGUAUGGUGCAUACUAUGAUGUCUCUUAUCGAAUUACCACUAUCGUUUAUGGGUUAUGCAUUAGAGACAACCGCGCUCACUUUAAAUAGGGCACCGCGUAUUUCCGUUGAGAUGACACAGUAUAGACUGAGGUUUAGAGAAAUCUAAACUGUCGUUUCUUCAAAGUUUGGGGUUUCGACACUUAUGUGAAAAAGUUUCAGUCUGAUAAGCUCGAACCCAAAGCGGAUAAAUGCAUCUUCAUAGGAUAUCCAAAGCAGUUGGGUACAUCUCCUAUCUCAGAUCCGAAAGCAAAGUGUUUAUUUCUAGAAACGGAUCCUUUCUCGAGGAAAGGUUUCUCUCAAAAUAAUUGAGUGGGAGGGUAGUAGAACUUGAUGAGGUUAUUGAACCAUCACUUCAACCAGUGUGUAGCAGGGCGCAGGAAGUUGUUCAUGUGGCGCCUACACCAAUUGAAGUGGAAGCUGAUGAUGAUGAUCAUUGAGCUUCGAAUCAAGUUACUACAAACCUCGUAGGUCGACAAGGUCGCGUACUGCUGCAGAGUAGUACGGUAACCCUAUCUUGGAGGUCAUGUUGUUGAGCAACAGUGAACCUACGAGUUAUGGAGAAAGCGAUGGUGGGCCCAGAUUCCGACAAAUGGUUGGAAGCCAUGAAAUCCGAGAGAGGAUCCAUGUGUGAAAACAAAGUGUAGACUUUGGUAGAACUACUUGAUGGUCAUAGGACUAUUGAGUAAAAAAUGGAUCUUUAAAAGAAGACAGAUGAUGGUGAUAAGUCACUAUUAAGAAAAGCUCGACUUGUCGCAAAGAUGUUUUCGACAAGAUCAAACAGUUGACUAUGAUGAGACUUUCUCACUCGUAGCGAUGCUAAAGGUCUGUUAGAAUUAUGUUAGUUGUUGAUGCAUUAUUUAUGAAAUAUUGCACGUAGGAUGUCAAAACAUUGUUUCCUCGACGGUUUCCUUGAGCAAACAUUGUAUGUGAUACAACCAGGAGGUUUUGUCGAUCCUAAAGAUACUAGCAAGUAUGCAAGCUCCAGCGAUCCUUCAAUGGACUGGUGCAAGCAUCUCGGAGUUGGAAUAUAUAUACUUUGAUGAGAUGAUCAAAGAUUUUGGGUUUGUACAAGGUUUAUGAGAAACUUGUAUUUCCAAAGAAGUGAGUGGGAGCACUAUAGAAUUUCUGAUAAGUAUAUGUGGUUGACAUAUUGUGGAUCAGAAGUAAUGUAGAAUUUCUGUAAAGCAUACAAGGUUGUUUGAAAGGAGUUUUUCAAAGGAUUGCGCUACUUGAACGUUGAGCAUCAAAGAUCUAUGGAGAUAGAUCAAAAGCGCUUAAUAGAAGUUUCAACAAGAUGCAUGCCUUGACAAGUUUUUGGAGGAGUUCAAAAUAGAUCAGUAAAGAAGGAGUUCUUGGUUGCGUUGUAAGGUGUGAAUUUGAGUAAGACUCAAAACCCGACCACGGCAGAAUAAAGAGAAUAGACGAAGGUCGUCUUCUAUGCCUUAGCUGUAGAAUCUAAAAGUAUGCCAUGCUGUGUACCGCGCCUGAUGUGUGCCUUGACUCAAAGUAUGUUGAGAGGUACAGAGAGUGAUCCAUGAUUGAAUCACUAGCAGCGGUCAAAAUUUGUCCUUAGUAACUAAUGGACUAAGGAAUUUUUCUCGAUUAUGGAGGUGGUUAAAGAGUUCAUCGUAAAGGGUUACGUCGAUGCAAGCUUUGACACUAAUCCGAAUAACUAUGAGUAGUGAAACGGACUCGUAUAGUAGAGUAGAUAUUUGGAGCAUUUCCGAAUAGCACGUAGUAGCAACAUCUAUAAGAUGACAUAAAUAUUUGUAAAGAACGCACGGAUCUGAAAGUUUCAGAACCGUUGACUAAAACCUCUCUCACGAGCAAGACGUGAUCAGACCCCAUAACUAUAUGGGUGUUGGAUUCGUUGGAAUCACAUGGUGAUGUGAACUAGAUUAUUGACUCUAGUGCAAGUGGGAGACUGUUGGAAAUAUGCCCUAGAGGCAAUAAUAAAUUAGUUAUUAUUAUAUUUCUUAGUUCAUGAUAAUCGUUUAUUAUCCAUGUUAUAAUUGUAUUGAUUGGGAACACAAUACUUGUGUGGGUACAUAGACAAAACACUGUCCCUAGUAAGCCUCUAGUUGACUAGCUCGUUGAUCAAAGAUGGUCAAGGUUUCCUGGCCAUAGGCAAGUGUUGUCACUUGAUAACGGGAUCACAUCAUUAGGAGAAUCAUGUGAUGGACUAGACCCAAACUAAAUAGACGUAGCAUGUUGAUCGUGUCAUUUUGUUGCUACUGUUUUCUGCGUGUCAAGUAUUUGUUCCUAUGACCAUGAGAUCAUAUAACUCACGGACACCGGAGGAAUGCUUUGUGUGUAUCAAACCUCGCAACGUAACUGGGUGACUAUAAAGAUGCUCUACAGGUAUCUCCGAAGGUGUUCGUUGAGUUAGUAUGGAUCGAGACUGGGAUUUGUCGCUCCGUGUGACGGAGAGGUAUCUCGGGGCCCACUCGGUAAUACAACAUCACACACAAGCCUUGCAAGCAAUGUGACUUAGUGUAAGUUACGGGAUCUUGUAUUACGGAACGAGUAAAGAGACUUGCCGGUAAACGAGAUUGAAAUAGGUAUGCGGAUACUGACGAUCGAAUCUUGGGCAAGUAACAUACCGAAGGACAAAGGGAAUGACAUACGGGAUUAUAUGAAUCCUUGGCACUGAGGUUCAAACGAUAAGAUCUUCAUAGAAUAUGUAGGAUCCAAUAUGGGCAUCCAGGUCCCGCUAUUGGAUAUUGACCGAGGAGUCUCUCGGGUCAUAUCUACAUAGUUCUCGAACCCGCAGGGUCUGCACACUUAAGGUUCGACGUUGUUUUAUGCGUAUUUGAGUUAUAUGGUUGGUUACCGAAUGUUGUUCGGAGUCCCAGAUGAGAUCACGGACGUCACGAGGGUUUCCGGAAUGGUCCGGAAACGAAGAUUGAUAUAUAGGAUGACCUCAUUUGAUUACCGGAAGGUUUUCGGAGUUACUGGGAAUGUACCGGGAAUGACGAAUGGGUUCCGGGAGUUCACCGGGGGGGCAACCCACCCCGGGGAAGCCCAUAGGCCUUGAGGGUGGCACACCAGCCCUUAGUGGGCUGGUGGGACAGCCCAAAAGGCUCUAUGCGCCAAGGAGAAGAAAAUCAAGAGAGAAAGAAAAAAAAAAGGAGGAGGUGGGAAGGAAGGGGGACUCCCUCCCACCAAACCUAGUCCAACUCGGUUUGGGGGGGGGAGAGUCCUCCCCCUUGGACUCGGCCGACCCCCUUGGGGCUCCUUGAGCCCCAAGGCAAGGUCCCCUCCCUCCCACCUAUAUAUACGGAGGUUUUAGGGCUGAUUUGAGACGACUUUUCCACGGCAGCCCGACCACAUACCUCCACGGUUUUUCCUCUAGAUCGCGUUUCUGCGGAGCUCGGGCGGAGCCCUGCUGAGACAAGGUCAUCACCAACCUCCGGAGCGCCGUCACGCUGCCGGAGAACUCUUCUACCUCUCCGUCUCUCUUGCUGGAUCAAGAAGGCCGAGAUCAUCGUCGAGCUGUACGUGUGCUGAACGCGGAGGUGCCGUCCGUUCGGUACUAGAUCGUGGGACUGAUCGCGGGAUUGUUCGCGGGGCGGAUCGAGGGAUGUGAGGACGUUCCACUACAUCAACCGCGUUCACUAACGCUUCUGUUGUACGAUCUACAAGGGUACGUAGAUCACUCAUCCCCUCUCGUAGAUGGACAUCACCAUGAUAGGUCUUCGUGCGCGUAGGAAAAUUUUUGUUUCCCAUGCGACGUUCCCCAACAAUUUUCAAUGCUCACCUUGAAGUAUGGAUACCAUCUUGGGCUUCCUCAAAUCUUGGGUGGAGUCCGGCCAGAUGGUCUCCUAAUCAUCUCUCCUCUAAGCUCCCCAACAACAAAAAGCACCUACUUGAAGUACCUAGAGAUGGUCUCCAUUGAUCUCCUGAAAGUGUUAUGAAUGACCCUGAACCUUUAUUUAUGGCCAACAACAUGGAGGAACAUUGCCACUUGCUCUUCCACACAAGUGUUGAUGUUAUCUUGUAGCAGCCCCCUGAUCCUGAAGGUCUCGACAAGCCUGGCAAAUGGUGCUCUUUUCAUUCGAAGCAUCCAGAGAGCCUCGACGUCAUUGCCGUUGCAGAUGUAGUUCAGAUUUUGGAUCCUCUCUUGAUCCCGGAUAAACAUUGGACCAUAGCGGAUCAAAGGUCUCCCAACACGACGAACAACUCUCUGGUGCAUGAACAUGACCCAUGCCUCAAUCACACUUAUCAGUGUUGCUGCCUGAAAUAUCAGACUCAUCCGUGCGUCCAUAACCUAGUCGACAUCGAUGGUUCGUUCAGUGGGAAAUCGAUCUUACACCUUGCCUAACGACCUAACCACCGACCUAACAAAGGAGGGAGGGGGUGUUGCUUACCGACAUCGGAGACGAGGACGACGUAGGGGGGGGGCAUGGCCAACAGCAAGGGGAGCACCAGAUCCGUCGCAAACGUCGGUGCCUUUUCCGCCGCCGCCGCCUCUAGCGCAUAUCUGAAAUCGCAGUCGCCGCCGGUGGUGAGGCAGUAGGGAAGAAAGUGGUUAUGGGUGAGCGGAUAGAAAGAGGGGUGAGGCUAAUUUGGCGCCGGGAUGGCGUGCCAGAUUUCCCAUCUCGUGCCAUCCCCCUCGCCCUCGCGUCGCACCCGCCCGUGCGACCUCACGCCGCUCAGCCUGGCUCGCGAGAAACUGUCGAUCCGAACGUUUCCAGCGAGCCAUGCUUUGAGAAGCGUGCGAUGCAGACAUAACAGUGAAACCAGGAAAUCAAACAAGCAUCUUCCUUCCUGUGCGGAUCUGGUUAAGCUCGAUGCGGGAACCAAACACGUCCUAAAUAUCUCAUAUACUCCCUUCGUAAAUUAAUAUAAAAACGUUUAGAUCAUUACUUUGAUACGGUAUGGCGCACGGAAAUAAUGCGAUCCUUGGGGUUGGGGACCAGCACGGCCGAUAGGAAAACAGCGUGCCAUACCCAUCGCAUCCCGUGGUAAUAGCCACCGCAACGGAUAAGAACGCCACAACGGAUAAGACCGGCCAGCCAAGAGAAAAGAUCCAAGAAGCGCACUAUAAUAUCGUGAUCACCCCACGCCGUACCUGUCUGUCACCGUCCAUUCCCAUCCCAUCCCAUCCCACUCCACCAGUCCACACCGCAGCAGCACUCCAGUGAGCUCGAAACCGAGAGGGCAAGAAGAGGAGGAACCGAUACAGCACUACAGGCAACCAUGGAGGUGGUGACCGGCAGCAACGGCGGGAGGCUGAACCCGUGGGCGGAGCCCUUCGUGCCGGGGAGCUGGUGCCGCCCCGCCCCCGUGGAGGCUGCGGCGUCGGCGGAGGUCGAGGACUUCUCCCCCGAGUGGUGGCGCCUCGUCGCCUCCUCGCCGUCCU
rnacentral:lncRNA from 1 species